UCUGAAGUUGGUGGCAGACUCCCCACUGACUUCAGUGGAGCUGAGAUUGUGCUGUAAAUAAAUAUAUCUGCUUCCAAAGGGUACAAGAGACAGAUCAAACAAGAGUGAGCUUUUCUUGUAUGUAGUAAGAUCUUUUUCCUCUAUUUCCUCCAUGGAUUUCUAAGGCAUUAAAUUUUCAUUAAAAAGAAAAUUACUUAAAAAUUUCAUUUACCUAGAGCCUCUGACCAUAUGCAGCCAUAUUGCCACAUAAGAAGCAAGUGUAUUAUCAGCUCCUAUUGGAAAUAAAGCUAUCUGUGCUUCAGCUGUGUACUGCUGCUGAGCAGGGAGAUGCCGCCUGAAUCUGCUGUCAGAGCAGCUCUCCAGGCUGGUGGGAGCUGACAGAUGGUUGCUCUGAAGUAUUUCCAAAAGAGGGGAAAAAAACAAGAAUCUCCCCACCCACUGCAAGUCCAUUGUUACUGCUGCAUUGUUGCUUGGUUGUUGCCCAUUUUAUGAGGGGAGCAGACCCAAGAAAUAAGAAGCAGAAAAGUCUUGGGAGUUUUUCUAGGAAUUGAGGUUUCUCUUUCAGCCAUGAGCAAAAUUAUAAUGAACAUAUUCCAAAGCUCACAGUAAAUCCCUUCCCAUCCUCAAGGCUCCCUCAAUGCUUAUCUUCCCAGCACUUUCCCUAGCCUCAGGUUAACCCCUGCACUACCAGGAUCUCUAGAACACUGUGAAGAAGGUACUUCAAUGACUACAUAUUCCUACUGGGUGCUUUGCCUUCCAGUAUCUUUCAAGUAAUUUUAAGUGGAUAUGGAGCUGUUAUAGCCCAAAAAAGUGAUUGUUAGCAGGGCGUUUUUUUUGUUUGUUUGUUUUUUUUUUAAAGGAGCAAAUAUCAAAACAUCAUGCUUUUCUAGCCCUGGGAUAUGCAGAGAUGUCACAACUCUUUGU